UUAUAUACAUAAAAUAAUUACUUUUCUUCAAUUUAUUUAUUAUUCAAAACUGUAGAUUUCAGUCAUUUAAUUAAAAAAAUAAAAUAUUUGCUAAUAAAAAGAAAUUGAAUUUAUAAAAAGAAUCCCUCCCAAAGUGUGCAAAACAGAAAACUACAUCCGAGUUUGCGAAAUCGUCGACUGUAAACAAUAUUCCGUAACUCACCGCCAUAAACGAAAGAAAUCUUUCAAAUCUGUAACGUAAACCCUAAGAGACACUAGUGAAGACAAAACUUGGAAUGUGAUAUUAUUGAAGCGUUUUUACUUUGGGACAACUUCAAGAAACAAUAAUUUAAAAACAUUACAAAAAAUAUAGUAGCCCAAGCCUAAGGAAACCAGAGUGUCAAUAUAUAUAGAUAUAUAUUUUUAGUUACUUCUUCCCGACCUUUUCUUACACUAUUACACUAGAUUGAAGAAAAAUAUCAAGAAAUAAGUCCUUUUUCUAGUUUAAGAAGAAUUAAGUUUAAUAUAAACAUUGAUAUAAGAAGAUAUAUUUAUUGCAUUAUCGCCUGUAGUGUGACUGUAUAUUGUAAUAUUCCUUUUUUUCUUUUGAUUUCUUCGUUAUUAUAAGUGUUCAUAACGAUAUGAGUAAUUUGAGCUCUCAGUGGAGACCCCUAUUACCCACUCAUGACUGUGGUAGUAGUAACGGUGGAAGUACAGGAUUCUUCAAUAACUCCUCUAUUUCUUCUCUCCAAAAUCAACAGAGGCGAUCUGUCAUAUCGAAAAAUUCUCAAAAUACCUUUCAAAACGUGAUGCCACCUCAACCAAACAAUUUCGGUUUGAAUAAAAUGUCUUUGGACUACAACAAUGCACCUCCAGUAAGGGAAAGGGGAACCUCGCCUAAUAACUUUAAUUUUUCAUCGUCGAGGGACUUUUUAUCUUCUGGAUCCAACAGAAUGAUGAAUCGAAUUGCCCCAUCUGCAAAUAUAUUCGGUUACAACAAUGAACCAUCUCCUUCAUCUAAUCAGCAAUUUGACUAUAAUAUAAGCAACCAACGUAGUAGCACGGCGUCUUUUGAUCGCUCAAUUAGUCUUCAAGAUCACUCUCAUACCAUGGUUAAUGGCUUUGGUAGACAACUAUCAUCCAGUGGUGUGGGUGUUGGAAAUAAUUCCUUUGAUUUCCGUGGAUCUACUUCCAAUGGCUUCGGUGGGAGCCGCUCACCUCCUUCAACCUUCAGUAGUGAUAAUCAGCAAAGAGGCUCUCCCAUGAAAAUAGGAACUUGGAAUUCCGUCUCUCCAUCGUCUAAUGCGUCAUCAUCAUUUCCUCAAGUUUCCACUUUCGAGAUCGGAACCUUUAACAGCAAUGGUUUGAAUGCAGAUUACAACAAUUCAUCAAGUUCAUCAUCUUCUACCAAUAACCGCUCUUCUGUUACGAAUGGAGGAGUUGCUCAAAGUAAUGGAGCUCAAUCUGGAGCUGGUGCGAGAGAAACUGGAAUUAUUGAAAAACUUCUUCACUCUUACGGUUUUAUUCAAUGCUGUGAUCGUCAAGCACGGCUGUUUUUCCAUUUUUCUCAAUUCGAAGGAAACAUUGAGCAUCUUAAAAAUGGCGACCCAGUUGAAUUUGAAAUGACAUAUGAUCGUCGAACUGGAAAGCCCAUUGCUAGUUGUGUCUCCAAAAUAGCUCCUGAAGUGGUAAUGAGUGAAGAAAGAGUUAUUGGUACGGUUACAACAGAAGCUCGUAUUGAUUCUGAAACUGGAAACCCUACUCAGGGUAGAAUUAGUUAUGAGAACAGAGGUGAAUGUUUCUUUUUGCCCUUUACUAUGUCUGAUGUAGAGGGUAAUGUAACUGUCGCUUCUGGGGAUAAAGUUAGUUUCCAAAUGGCUACUAUGCAACGCUCUGGAAACUUAGUUGCUCGUACAAUACGACUUGAAAAUCCAGCCGCUCCAGUUAAAUAUCAAGGAGUUGUUAAUUCUAUUAAAGAGUCAUUUGGAUUCAUUGAGCGCGCCGAUGUUGUCAAGGAAAUUUUCUUUCAUUUUAGUGAGAGUGGACAUGAAGAUAUUGAUUUGGGUGAUGAUGUUGAAUUCACCAUUCAAACCCGUAAUAAUAAGGAAGUAGCUUGCAAUAUAACUAAACUUGAAUCUGGAACAGUUAUUUUUGAAGAUGUAGGAACUGAAUACUUCAAGGGUCAGGUCCUUAAGCCUUUGGAUAGAAAUGUUGGUGGAGACGUUUCACCACGUGACGUGGAUCCUCUUCCUGGAAGAGUCAAAUAUCGUGGAACUGAUCGUUCUGAAAUUGAAGUUCCUUUUGGUGAAAAAGAUCAGCUUGGAGAUUUUACUCUUCGUCAUGGUGAUUGGGUUAAAUUUCUUAUUGCUAUUGACAGAAGAGAUAAGCUCCGCCGUGCUACUAAAAUUGAAUUACUUGAUGAAUCCUUUGAGGUUUCUGAUGAAAGAAGAGAACAAGGAGUCAUCGAGUCAUUAAAAAAUGGAUUUGGUUUUUUGACCUGUGUUGAUCGAGAUGCCAAGAUUUUUUUCCAUUUUAGCGAAUGUCUAGAUGUUAAUAAGGUUUUGGCUGUUGGAGAUGAAUGCGAAUUUACAGUUACUCCAGAUCCUGAUACACGGUUUGUUGCUACAAGAAUUAAACAUUUAAUAAAGGAAAGCAUCAAGUUUGAAGUCAUUAUCCACAAAAAUGUAUUUGGUGAAGUUCAAGUCCCACCAACUCAACCCUUGGACACGAGUGAUGCUAAGGAAGGAAAUGGUAGGAUCGUUUAUGAGCUGAAUAGUACUAUGUUGGAGAUACCUCUCCGCCCUAAGGAUUUUAACUUUCGUAAGUUACAGCUGACGAAGGGUGACUUUGUUGUGUUCGAUAUUAAUCAACUCAAAAGCACAAAGGAAACUAAUGCCGUCAAUGUAAGGUUGAUUAAAGAUACUAAUGAAGCGGAAUCAACUUCCUCCACAACUUCAUUAUCUUCUUCUGAUUCGGAAACUAAUUUUAAAAUGAAACAAGGCUAUGUAGCUGCAUUGAAGGAUGGAUUUGGUUUUAUCGAAACUCUUGAGAGGGAUAAGGAAAUAUUUUUCCAUUUCUCUAAUGUUGAAGGUAAAGCUGACAAACUGGAAGUUGGUACUGAAGUUGAGUAUCGACUCUCCGGUUCUUCUAAAGAUAAGAAGAUAUCCGCUGAAAAGUUGAGAGUUUUGUCGAAAGGGUCCAUUCCUCCUCUAAACUCUAGUAAGGAAAUUCUCAAUGGAAAAGUUAUUCGGACACUGAGGUCUGUUAAUCCUGAUCAGGAUUGCUACGCAGGUCUAAUUCAAGUUCGUUCCGAAGAAGGGAUAGUUAUGGGAGAAUAUGAAUAUGGGAUUGUAAGUUUAGUCAAUAAGAAGGAGCUCUUGCAGAUACAUGAUCCAGUUAAAUUCCGAAUAUCCGAGUGUAAGAAUUUAGCAUUAAAUGUAGAAGCAACAAGGGAAAAACUAAGAGCUACAGUGGAAGCUGUUAAAGGACAAUUUGGAUUUUUAAGUCAUGAAGUGGAUCAAGGAAAAAAAUUAUUUUUCCAUAUGAGUGAAGUCGAAGCAGGAUCUUUCUUACAGCAAGGCGAUGAAGUAGAAUUUGUUGUUGUAACAAGCAAGAGAACAGGGAAAAAUUCUGCUUGUUGUGUUAAGAAAGUUGGAAUGUCUAAAAGACCUGAUCGUUUGUUAAGUCGCUUGAAGUCAUUAAAUUUAGUGGAUAAAGACAUAGGCGGUCUUAAAGUUCAUAUUAUCCGUCAACCCAAAGUACCAGAUGGUACUAAAGGUUUUAAAUCACGAAGUACUGUUGCGGCAAUGGCUCUCCUAGAGAAGAUGGAUAGCAAAACUGAUAUUUAGUGUGUUAACUAGAUGUUAAAAAUUUUAAAGGAAAAAAGGAUUACAUAUACCUACACUCAUUGGUGGUAAUAUAGGAUUGAUUAUGUUCAGUGACCAAUAAAACAAACGUAUGUGUCCUGAACAUUGGGAAGGGGGAACUUGGUCUCAUUAUUAUUAUAAUUAUAAUUACUACUACAACUACUAUUACUAUUUAUACGAUUAUGUUUAUUUCUUCAUUUUUUUUUUCAAUGAUUGAAGAAGCCAUUCCAUUAUUUUCUUCUUACUCGAAUUUUGUAGACAUGCUAACAUGGCAUAUCAUUAUUUUUCUUCAAUUCAAUACAUAAGCAGUUUUAUAUUUUGCGGGAAAAUGGUACAGUGAUAUAAUUGUACAGUGUCUGUGAUUUCACUUUAAUCAAUAAGCUUAUUAUUGUUUUUCGAUGACAACUAUUACUACUACAUACAAUAUUACUAUCUCUAUUUCUACUAUAUAAUUAUUAUUAUUAUUCUAGUAAAGUAAAAAUUAUUAUAUAUCAUUUUAUAUUCUAAUAAUAAUAAUACACUUAACUUGUGUGUGUCAACAUAUUAUACACAAUUAUGAGUAAUUUUUAAAUAUAAAUAAAACUACAAAAAAAUUGAAAUACAAGAUUUUAUACCGA
rnacentral:misc_RNA from 1 species